rnacentral:lncRNA from 1 species
GUUCACCAUACUUUGGGCAAAAUCAAACUUUAAAUAUUUUCUUUAAUAUAUUAAAUUUGAAUUCUUGAAUCAUCGAUUAGAUUUUGAAUUUUAGUUUAUAAUUUAUGUUUGUCAAAUUUAAUAUUAAAAUUUUUUGAAUACUUAAAUAUUCAAAAAUUUUAUGUCUUAUAUUCAGUGUUUUCUUCCCAACAUCUUAUAUUGAGUGUUAUUCAUGGCCAGAGGCGAACUCAGAAUUUGAAAUUUGUGGAUGUAUCAGUGUUGUCAAAGACGCACAUAAGCCUUGAAGCAAGACUCAAAAUGUGUUGAGCGCUCGCCUCACUUAAUAUGCAGCUUAGAUUAUAAUUUUUGAUACAUACUUUCCUUUGUCAAUGAGGUUUUCUGAAGAGACGAACAAUAAACAAUUGAUAUUUCACUUUAUCAAAAAAAAAAUUGUUCAUAUAUUUGUCAUUUAUGCUUAUAUUAUUAGUCUUAGACUAAACAUAUAUUUAUUUCUUUUCUACCUUUAUGCUUUUUUUCUUUGAAUCUCACACUUUAUUUGUACUUUAUGCCUAAACACAAUAGACCUUGAGGCUUUUUUGUGCUUAUUACUUUUGAUAAUAUUAUGGAGCACCAAUAUUAUCUUAAGACGUUAGAAAAACUUUCGAUGUCGAUUAAGGGAUAUUAUAUAUUCAAUUGGUCGCCAAAGACAUGAACAUUACUGAAAAAAUAAAUAUAUAGAAUAAAUAAGAGUUUUAAGCUAAUAACUUUACUUUCUAAUAUGAAUUUUACUUUUAAUAUCUUUGAACAAUUAAUUGUGGUAACUAAAUGGUCAAGAAGGAUUUACCUUUUGUACUGGUCGUUGGUUUGAAUCCCCAAUCCUGUAAUUUUUUGUUGUUUAAGUUUAGUACCUUUUAAAGGUGAAGCAUUGAAAAUAAAAACUAAGGCAUUGUGCAAUCCACGGAUCAAUCUCUGAUCGCAUAAACGGAAGGGGAGGUUUCAACCAACCCGUACUAUUUAUUAUAUUUCAAUUUCUUAAAAUAUAUAUGUGUAUAUAUAUUUAAUUUUUUUCGAUGUUAAUAGAUGCACGUGCGCC